rnacentral:rRNA from 1 species
AGUGGGGAAUUUUGCACAAUGGGCGAAAGCCUGAUGCAGCAACGCCGCGUGUGUGAUGAAGGUUUUCGGAUCGUAAAGCACUUUCGACCGGGACGAACACCCCUUGGCUAACAUCCAGGGGCCUGACGGUACCGGGAGAAGAAGCACCGGCUAACUCUGUGCCAGCAGCCGCGGUAAUACAGAGGGUGCAAGCGUUGUUCGGAAUUAUUGGGCGUAAAGCGCGUGUAGGCGGCUUUGCAAGUCGGGUGUGAAAGCCCUCAGCUUAACUGAGGAAGUGCGCCCGAAACUGCAUGGCUUGAGUACCGGAGAGGAUGGUGGAAUUCCCCAAGUAGAGGUGAAAUUCGUAGAUAUGGGGAGGAACACCGGUGGCGAAGGCGACCAUCUGGACGGAUACUGACGCUGAGACGCGAAAGCGUGGGUAGCAAA